UAUAUACACACUUAGAUUUCCGAGGACAAAAAUGGAAAAACUAAACCAAUGGAGGUUAUAUGAAGAAUGAUUCAUCACCUCAUUAUUACAUUCUUUCCAUAAGUGCUGAAUGUAUUGGAUCGUUUAAUGUUAGGUGAAGUGAUAGAUAGUUAUGUGGAAUUGUGGUUAGCCGGUGUGCACGUAUCUUUUUACAAGAUUAUGAGGACAAGAAGUGCAGCAACUGCUCAUUUAUGAAUAUUAGCUUUAAGGUUGGCGCAAGACACCAAAACAAAACAGUAUAUACAUAUAGAGAGAGAGUCUUUGUUAUGGAACACUCUUUAGUGAGGAAAGGUGCAUGGGGUCAUGAGGAAGACGAGCUUCUGAGAAAGUGCAUUCAGAAAUAUGGAGAAGGCAGAUGGCAUCUAG
rnacentral:misc_RNA from 1 species